rnacentral:lncRNA from 1 species
AGAAGUCGAGACUCAGUAAGACCAAGACAAAUUGGCCCUUCAAAAGUCUUUACUCCACUCCCGUUACACGAAAAUGAGCAAAGACGGGCAGCUGUAACGGGCCUAUUUUGCCCGGGACCAAAUCAGACCAAAAAUAAACAAACACAAAAAAAUAAAUAAAAAUCCCAAAUAUCAAACCCAGACUACAAAGCCCAAAAAAAUUAAAAACCCUAAUAGCCCAAAUAGCCCAACACCCCAAACACCUAAUAGAAACCCUACCCCCCAUUUGCGCUGCACCUAGCAUCUGACAGCCACUGCCACCGCCGCUCCUCCCACACGCGCCGCACAGCCUCCUCGCACGCCACC